rnacentral:rRNA from 1 species
GUGAAAUUCCGUCGGAAUCUGGGAGGACCAUCUCCUAAGGCUAAAUACUCUCUAGUGACCGAUAGUGAACCAGUACCGUGAGGGAAAGGUGAAAAGCACCCCGGAAGGGGAGUGAAAUAGAACCUGAAACCGUGUGCUUACAAGUAGUCAGAGCCCGUUAAUGGGUGAUGGCGUGCCUUUUGUAGAAUGAACCGGCGAGUUACGAUUUGAUGCAAGGUUAAGCAGUAAAUGUGGAGCCGUAGCGAAAGCGAGUCUGAAUAGGGCGUUUAGUAUUUGGUCGUAGACCCGAAACCAGGUGAUCUACCCUUGGUCAGGUUGAAGUUCAGGUAACACUGAAUGGAGGACCGAACCGACUUACGUUGAAAAGUGAGCGGAUGAACUGAGGGUAGCGGAGAAAUUCCAAUCGAACCUGGAGAUAGCUGGUUCUCUCCGAAAUAGCUUUAGGGCUAGCCUCAAGUGAUGAUUAUUGGAGGUAGAGCACUGUUUGGACGAGGGGCCCCUCUCGGGUUACCGAAUUCAGACAAACUCCGAAUGCCAAUUAAUUUAACUUGGGAGUCAGAACAUGGGUGAUAAGGUCCGUGUUCGAAAGGGAAACAGCCCAGACCACCAGCUAAGGUCCCAAAAUAUAUGUUAAGUGGAAAAGGAUGUGGCGUUGCCCAGACAACUAGG